rnacentral:lncRNA from 1 species
AAAAAACAAAAACAAAAACUUGGAAGUACAUUACUUUAGAGCUUCAUAAUGCCUGUAUGUCAACAAAAAUAAGUCCAUUCAGUGGAAAAUGCCAUCAUAGUUAUAAUUUUCUUAUAGAGAACACUAGCAGUUGUCAUUUGAUGUCUCCAAAUACUGUUCAUACCAUAAGCAGCAACUCUGUGAAAUUUCCAUCAACAAAAAGGUAUGUAUAUAGAUGGAAAGAAUCAUUUAAAAAAUAGAUUCUCAAGGCCACUCGGAUUCAGAUAGUCUCUAAAGAGGCUGGUUAAGAAAUCAAAGAAGUUCAUGGGAUUCUUUCUCUAUUCUAGUGUCUAAUAUUUACCUGCAGGCAUAUAUGAAAUAAUUCUUGAAUAGCUAUGGCUACUUAAAAUUUACAGAAUUGAACCUGUGCAAAGAGUAGUUGAUCUCAAACUGACACAAACCAGAUAGUCUCUUAAUGUUACUCUAAGGAAUUUUAAACUGACUCUGUUAAAGCUGAGCUUAUUUGCCUUGGGGAUGCCUAAUGGAAAAGUUAUUAUAACACUGGCCACAAAUAGGGGCCUUGAGAGAGUCAGGCCAUAGCACUCCACUGACAGCUGACACACUGGACCAUUGCCACGUCACAGAGAGCUCCAAGGUCAAAGGCCAUAUCUCUCCCUUAAUAUUUAAAUAAAGAUACUUGACAAGAGCAAACAACACCUUAUUGCCAGUGAUGGCUGUUGCUCAAUUUAUAAGAACCUUUACAAAGUCAUGCUAAUUCUUGGCCUUCUUAGAAUGCAUGGUAACAUUUCAUAAAUCCAUCUUCUUCAGAUGUCCUUGGAAAUGACAGUUAUAAAACUACAAAUGAUUUGUAAUGCAAAAUGGGACUGGCAGACUUUAAAGAUUAGGGAUCUAUGUACUAAAAUGACUGUGGUUUUAGCUAACAAAAGGCAUAAAGUGCAUCAAUAAAUAGCUGAUGAAGUAACUCAAAAUUGUUUUAAAUACUCUUAGUAAAUGCCAGGACAACA